AGGCAGCCCCCACAGCGACUCAAACACUGACACUCUCUGUACAAAAACCACACCUUCACUGUCUCCCAGUCACCUUCCUGUCUCUGUCUUUCUCUCGCUCAAUUCUCAACGUCACACUUCCUCUGACUGCCUCCCUGACUGAACAGCAUUGAAUAAGCAGAGACUAACUACUGGAGCCUAGCGUGUGACUCAAAGCACCAUGUUCCUAUCAAUCUGUGUGCUGCUGCUGUUGGUCGACAGUGUGGAUCCUCUGUCUAUCCAGCAGUCUCCUGCAUUCUUAUCUGCAAAAGCUGGAGCUUCAAUGAAACUAAGCUGUGAAGUUGCAGACAUUGGCUCUGGAGCUCUAUAUCUCUACUGGUACAGACAGAAUCUUCACAAGGAACUCCAGCUACUGUUUUAUUCUGUGACUACUGGCAGUGUAGACCCCUCUACCCUGGGCCAGUUCACUGCUUCUAGACCCGACAGCUCCCAUUUCUUUCUGGAGUCCACAGGUGUUGCAGUGAAUGACUCCGCUGUGUAUUACUGUGCAGGCAGCCCCCACAGCGACUCAAACACUGACACUCUCUGUACAAAAACCACACCUUCACUGUCUCCCAGUCACCUUCCUGUCUCUGUCUUUCUCUCGCUCAAUUCUCAACGUCACACUUCCUCUGACUGCCUCCCUGACUGAACAGCAUUGAAUAAGCAGAGACUAACUACUGGAGCCUAGCGUGUGACUCAAAGCACCAUGUUCCUAUUAAUCUGUGUGCU